UUGAAAGCUUGCUUUUGGUGUUUCUAGCGGCGGACGGGUGAGUAACGCGUGAGCAAUCUGUCUCAGACAGGGGGAUAACGCAGCGAAAGUUGCACUAAUACCGCAUAAGACCACAGAGCCACAUGGCAUAGGGGUCAAAGGAGCAAUCCGGUAUGGGGUGAGCUCGCGUCCCAUUAGGUAGUUGGUGAGGUAACGGCCCACCAAGCCGACGAUGGGUAGCCGGCCUGAGAGGGUGAACGGCCACAUUGGGACUGAGACACGGCCCAAACUCC
rnacentral:rRNA from 1 species